rnacentral:rRNA from 1 species
AUUGAACGCUGGCGGCAUGCUUUACACAUGCAAGUCGAACGGUAACAGGCCGCAAGGUGCUGACGAGUGGCGCACGGGUGAGUAAUGCAUCGGAACGUGCCCAGUCGUGGGGGAUAACUACUCGAAAGAGUAGCUAAUACCGCAUACGAUCUAUGGAUGAAAGCGGGGGACCGUAAGGCCUCGCGCGAUUGGAGCGGCCGAUGUCAGAUUAGGUAGUUGGUGGGGUAAAGGCUCACCAAGCCAACGAUCUGUAGCUGGUCUGAGAGGACGACCAGCCACACUGGGACUGAGACACGGCCCAGACUCCUACGGGAGGCAGCAGUGGGGAAUUUUGGACAAUGGGCGCAAGCCUGAUCCAGCAAUGCCGCGUGCAGGAAGAAGGCCUUCGGGUUGUAAACGGCUUUUGUACGGAACGAAACGGCUCUGGUUAAUACCCGGGGCUAAUGACGGUACCGUAAGAAUAAGCACCGGCUAACUACGUGC